CUCCGCCCCGGAAGUCUCUAGGAGCGAGGGGUCGUAGGACUCCUCCCCCGCCAAGCUCUCGGAGCACGCGCACUGAGCUGCGGACGGCCCGCCUUGCUCCGCCCUUCGCUCACCGCGUACUCAAAAGUAGAGCCCGGGUAAUGGGGCAGGUCCUCUUGCGGCGCCAACGGCUUUAAGGAGCCAGUUAGAGCGGCGGGAAAGACAUAGCAAAAACUGUGAAA